GGUUAAGUUAGAAAGGGCGCACGGUGGAUGCCUUGGCACUAGGAGCCGAUGAAGGACGGGACGAACACCGAUAUGCUUCGGGGAGCUGUAAGCAAGCUUUGAUCCGGAGAUUUCCGAAUGGGGAAACCCACCACUCGUAAUGGAGUGGUAUCCAUAUCUGAAUACAUAGGAUAUGAGAAGGCAGACCCGAGGAACUGAAACAUCUAAGUACCCGGAGGAAGAGAAAGCAAAUGCGAUUCCCUGAGUAGCGGCGAGCGAAACGGGACCAGCCCAAACCAAGAGGCUUGCCUCUUGGGGUUGUAGGACACUCUGUACGGAGUUACAAAGGAACGAGGUAGAUGAAGAGGUCUGGAAAGGCCCGCCAUAGGAGGUAACAGCCCUGUAGUCAAAACUUCGUUCUCUCCUGAGUGGAUCCUGAGUACGGCGGAACACGUGAAAUUCCGUCGGAAUCCGGGAGGACCAUCUCCCAAGGCUAAAUACUCCCUAGUGACCGAUAGUGAACCAGUACCGUGAGGGAAAGGUGAAAAGCACCCCGGAAGGGGAGUGAAAGAGAUCCUGAAACCGUGUGCCUACAAGUAGUCAGAGCCCGUUAACGGGUGAUGGCGUGCCUUUUGUAGAAUGAACCGGCGAGUUACGAUCCCGUGCAAGGUUAAGCAGAAGAUGCGGAGCCGCAGCGAAAGCGAGUCUGAAUAGGGCGAAUUGAGUACGUGGUCGUAGACCCGAAACCAGGUGAUCUACCCAUGUCCAGGGUGAAGUUCAGGUAACACUGAAUGGAGGCCCGAACCCACGCACGUUGAAAAGUGCGGGGAUGAGGUGUGGGUAGGGGUGAAAUGCCAAUCGAACCUGGAGAUAGCUGGUUCUCUCCGAAAUAGCUUUAGGGCUAGCCUCAAGGUAAGAGUCUCGGAGGUAGAGCACUGAUUGGACUAGGGGCCCCUACCGGGUUACCGAAUUCAGUCAAACUCCGAAUGCCGAUGACUUAUCCUUGGGAGUCAGACUGCGAGUGAUAAGAUCCGUAGUCGAAAGGGAAACAGCCCAGACCGCCAGCUAAGGUCCCAAAGUAUACGUUAAGUGGAAAAGGAUGUGGAGUUGCUUAGACAACCAGGAUGUUGGCUUAGAAGCAGCCACCAUUUAAAGAGUGCGUAAUAGCUCACUGGUCGAGUGACUCUGCGCCGAAAAUGUACCGGGGCUAAACGUAUCACCGAAGCUGCGGACUGUUCUUCGAACAGUGGUAGGAGAGCGUUCUAAGGGCUGUGAAGCAAGACCGGAAGGACUUGUGGAGCGCUUAGAAGUGAGAAUGCCGGUAUGAGUAGCGAAAGAGGGGUGAGAAUCCCCUCCACCGAAUGCCUAAGGUUUCCUGAGGAAGGCUCGUCCGCUCAGGGUUAGUCGGGACCUAAGCCGAGGCCGAAAGGCGUAGGCGAUGGAUAACAGGUUGAUAUUCCUGUACCACCUCCUCACCAUUUGAGCAAUGGGGGGACGCAGGAGGAUAGGGUAAGCGCGGUAUUGGAUAUCCGCGUCCAAGCAGUUAGGCUGGGAAAUAGGCAAAUCCGUUUCCCGUGAAGGCUGAGCUGUGAUGGCGAGCGAAUUAUAGUAGCGAAGUUCCUGAUUCCACACUGCCAAGAAAAGCCUCUAGCGAGGUGAGAGGUGCCCGUACCGCAAACCGACACAGGUAGGCGAGGAGAGAAUCCUAAGGUGAUCGAGAGAACUCUCGUUAAGGAACUCGGCAAAAUGACCCCGUAACUUCGGGAGAAGGGGUGCUCUGUUAGGGUGCAAGCCCGAGAGAGCCGCAGUGAAUAGGCCCAGGCGACUGUUUAGCAAAAACACAGGUCUCUGCGAAGCCGUAAGGCGAAGUAUAGGGGCUGACGCCUGCCCGGUGCUGGAAGGUUAAGAGGAGCGCUUAGCGUAAGCGAAGGUGCGAAUUGAAGCCCCAGUAAACGGCGGCCGUAACUAUAACGGUCCUAAGGUAGCGAAAUUCCUUGUCGGGUAAGUUCCGACCCGCACGAAAGGCGCAACGAUCUGGGCACUGUCUCAACGAGAGACUCGGUGAAAUUAUAGUACCUGUGAAGAUGCAGGUUACCCGCGACAGGACGGAAAGACCCCGUGGAGCUUUACUGCAGCCUGAUAUUGAAUGUUGGUACAGCUUGUACAGGAUAGGUAGGAGCCUUGGAAACCGGAGCGCCAGCUUCGGUGGAGGCAUCGGUGGGAUACUACCCUGGCUGUAUUGACCUUCUAACCCGCCGCCCUUAUCGGGCGGGGAGACAGUGUCAGGUGGGCAGUUUGACUGGGGCGGUCGCCUCCUAAAAGGUAACGGAGGCGCCCAAAGGUUCCCUCAGAAUGGUUGGAAAUCAUUCGCAGAGUGUAAAGGCACAAGGGAGCUUGACUGCGAGACCUACAAGUCGAGCAGGGACGAAAGUCGGGCUUAGUGAUCCGGUGGUUCCGCAUGGAAGGGCCAUCGCUCAACGGAUAAAAGCUACCCCGGGGAUAACAGGCUUAUCUCCCCAAGAGUCCACAUCGACGGGGAGGUUUGGCACCUCGAUGUCGGCUCAUCGCAUCCUGGGGCUGUAGUCGGUCCCAAGGGUUGGGCUGUUCGCCCAUUAAAGCGGUACGCGAGCUGGGUUCAGAACGUCGUGAGACAGUUCGGUCCCUAUCCGUCGCGGGCGCAGGAAAUUUGAGAGGAGCUGUCCUUAGUACGAGAGGACCGGGAUGGACGCACCGCUGGUGUACCAGUUGUUCUGCCAAGGGCAUCGCUGGGUAGCUAUGUGCGGACGGGAUAAGUGCUGAAAGCAUCUAAGCAUGAAGCCCUCCUCAAGAUGAGAUUUCCCAUUCCGCAAGGAAGUAAGAUCCCUGAAAGAUGAUCAGGUUGAUAGGUCUGAGGUGGAAGUGUGGCGACACAUGGAGCUGACAGAUACUAAUCGAUCGAGGACUUAACCAA
rnacentral:rRNA from 1 species